CUAAUGGUUGAAUCAUAUGAAUAUCUUUUAUUCCUUAUCAAUAACCUACGGAUAAACUUCUUAUGCUAUAACGGGUCAAACCAUAGUCAAAGCAUGCUUAGGAUGAGACCCGCGCCCAUUUAUACUGAUCGAUCCAUUUUUGUUACACGAGUAAUUUCUUACCCUUACCCUGUGUCCUGUGAUGAGUUCGGUUCCGGAUUUGAAGGUGAGGAAGAGAAAAACCAACGAAAACUACAAAAAUGACCGUUCUUUUCAGUUUUCUCUCUUCCUUUCCCCAACUUCCUUUCCUCUGAAUCCGCCAUUGCCGUCAAUUUCUGAGCUCAUUAACCCAAAUAAUCCACCAUCAAUUCGCUUCAAACCCCAGAAAAAUCCCAUUGAACAAUUCUCUGUUUUCCUCAAUUCGAACUUCGCUGAUUGUGGUCCGAUUAAUAAAAAACAGUUUUGAUUGUGGUCCGAUUAAUAAAAAACAGUUUUGAUUGUGGUCCGAUUAAUAAAAGGGGUUCAAGAUGAGGAUUAUGAUCAAAGGAGGUGUUUGGAAGAACACUGAAGAUGAAAUCCUCAAAGCUGCUGUUAUGAAAUAUGGGAAGAAUCAAUGGGCUCGAAUUUCUUCUCUUCUUGUUCGUAAAUCUGCUAAACAGUGUAAAGCUCGUUGGUAUGAGUGGCUUGACCCUUCCAUUAAGAAGGCUGGUUCAUUCAUUGAGGAAGAGGUGCAGUAUCUAUGAGUAGCAAUGGGACAUCAGGAAGAGACCUUAGAUGAUUUUGUUGAGGCACACAAGACUUGCUUAAAUGAUUUGAUGUAUUUUCCCACUCGUAAUGCUUAUGGUCUCUCCAGUGUUGCUGGAACUGUAGAGAAACUUGCUGCCUUACAAAAUGAAUUUGAAAAUGUUAAGAGGAAGAUGGAUGAUGAUAAUAAGAAGGCACAACGGCUUGAGAAAAGAUUGAUGUUCUUACUCAUGGUUAUAAGAUGCGGGCUGAUAAAUUGAAGACACAAAUCGAGCUCACAUUCAGACAGAUGAAUACUGCUGGGACUGAAUUGGAUUGCUUCCUAGCUUUGCAGAGACAGGAAAAUAUGGCAGCUUCAUUUAGGAUCAAGGGCCUUUGAGAAGAAGUCCAGAAGCAGAAAGAGGUAGAGAAAACACUACAGAAACGUUAUGGAGAUCGUGUUGCUGAACUGGAGAGGAUCCGGCAGCUCAUGGAUCAGUACAGAAUUGUGGAAGAAAUAGAAGCUAAGAAACACUCAGAAGAGUUGGUUGAGAAAGCAGCUAAUCAGGCUUCACUAAUGAGCUAUGAAACUUUGGAGCCUGUAAGAGCCAUGGAAAUGGAUUCCUCUGAUGAUGUAAAAUCACAGGAGGAUGGUGAAGUGGCAUCAAAUGCGCAUGCACAAAGCAUUUCUCUUUCUUCUGAGGCUAAAGGAUCUGAAACUACGGAGGAGCAUGAUACAGAUCAUCCUGUAGGGGAAGCUCUUGAAAAUAAUGGUUUUGUCAAUGUAGAGCCUGUUUCUACCUCUAAACUGGAGACACAAGGAAUAGAUGGGGAGCUCAGUAAUCAGAUCAAUGAGGCAGAUGGGAAUAACUUAUGAUGGAUGGAGAUGUGGGCGAGCCUGUAGAAAGGGUGGAAGAUGAUGCCUGUAAUAACCAAGUGUGACACCGACUUGCAACUUUAGUAUUAGGUUGUUGGCUUGUUGCUAUCUGUUGGACCCCACUGCACCUUAAAGAGGCAUUAAAGCAGAUGUAGAAGAGAUGAUCUGUUGAGACUAUCGAAGUUUGUUGGGUCUUCAUUUUUGCUUGUGCAUUGUUUCUUUAGAGAAUAUGGAUUUUAAACAGUUGAACUUGCUUCCCUCCCAUGCCAUGGUAUUUGGCAUGUUCCCUGGUCUUCUGCCAUUAGAAAACCUCUGAAAUACGUUGAAUAUGUGGGCGUAUCACAUCUUCACCCCCAAGGAGAUUGAUUCGUGGUAUUAAUGACCCACUUCUAAAUGGUAGCAUCAGUGAUAGUUGAGCCUCAAAAGGAAAAAAGCAGAAGCACCAUUAAAAAUCAGGUUAUGCAGGUGAAAGUGGUGGUGAGAGCAGCAGUGAUCAAAGCUACAGGGGAUACAUGAUCCAUGGUCAUUGGUCGUCAAAGCGUAGUUAAGUAAAAACUUUCGAACUUUAAAGAAUGCACAAGAGUAUGUUGAUUAUCAUGUGUAAAGCGUCACAAAUUUGCACUGUGCUUGCUGUCCGUGAUUUGUGCUCCAUUUUCCAUCUUGUUAACUUAGUCAGGGACGGGAACGCAACGUUGGAGAUAAGUCUACAAUUCUACAUGAUGGUUAAUUCACCAGUACAUUCUUGUGUCGGAGCCCUGGCCAUGGCCAAUGUAUUGCAGUGAUAUUACAAUACUGCAUUAGAUACUGGCUUCUCUUUUUGUUCCCUUCCUCCUGCUGUGUUAUGGAGGUGUGUGAACAGUAUGGUGUAUAGAGCUUCCAUAAAACUUUUGGGUACAGAAUUUGGCACAUUUGUAUCAGUGCCUCAAAUACCUGACAUUUGACUCUGUAUAUGUUUUAUAUAUUGCCCAAUUGAACUUUUCAUAAGGCAACUUAAAGCCAACCUGCAUGAGCUUUUGCCUGUAUAAAUUAGCCUUGCUGGGUAACAAACUAUUCGGCUUCUAGAAAAACUUGCCCAUGCUGCAUUGCUGGGUACUCACGACUGAUUACCAAAUUUUUCUAAGUAAUAUAAUGGGUUUGGGUU